rnacentral:lncRNA from 1 species
CUGGCAAGUGGGGAAGGAGGAGGAGACCGAGGAAUGGGGAAAGCACCACAAGCAAGAAGAUUGACCAGCUGACCUUGAAGGAGAUCAAAUUGUUUGUCCCUCCUUUCUAGCUGAACUUGAAGGAUAUCAAAUCUCUUCUUUUCACUAGCCUUGGUCUCUUGAAGCUCUGCUGUCAGCUUUGUGAUCUUCUCUUCCAUAGCGGAUAAGUCGAACUAUCAAUCGCCUCGCCUUGGGCGGAAGUCCCUAUACCUUGCUAUCCAGCCAUGUAGCGCCGAAACGAUUUAUCUAAAAGGCCGUAUGCUGUCCCCUUUUUAGGACCACCGACAGUAUCCAACCAUAUCAUCUUCUCUUCUUUGUCUGAAAUGGGCGGUAGCUCGCCUUCCUCAUUCGGUGGCAAGCUCUAAGUGUACUCCUCCAAAUUGCUUUUGUAGCGACCCUUUAUUUAGAAGAUAGAAAAUUAGUAAUUAUAUAAUAUUAUAAAUAUUUAUAGUUAUGAAACUUAAAUGUGUAGUCACUGCGCGGUCCUCCACCCAUCUAGUCAGGUCUGUCGGCGCUUUCUUCUUUCGGAUGUCAGUCUCCAUGAAGAACUCAUCAUGACUCAUCUUCCUCCCCAAUUUUUUUCCUACAAAUAUAAUAAACGUGUUAGUGAAAGUUGUAGCUACACUCGCAUUUGAUUACUUUUCUUUAAUGAACAAAAGAUAUCUGAAAAUAAAAAUUUGAUAUACAUAAUGAAGGAGUAUGCAGAUCAUCUUCAAUGGCAGAGGCUAUUACAGUUUCUAAGUGGACUGAACAAUUCCAAUUCACAAGCUAGAAGGUAGAAUCUAAUGAAAUCAGUGGAACCUACUUUGAAUCAGGAUUACACUCUAAUUGUU